GAGAUGAAGCCAAGAAGUCUUGAUCGUAAGUCCCUUAAGCCGCAGAAGAGGGAACUGGGAGCAGAAAAAGAUUUAGUAAAGCAGGACACCACAGAAACAACAGAAACGAUGACUGAAGAAAGACAAGCACCCAAGGGCAUCUGUCUGCUUCAAUCUAUGCUGAACAGAAUAAAGUCUUCAGAGAAGGUCCAAGAUCCUUCUCAUGUAACAGCUCAACACUGUAGGCACGGGGUCGACACGAACCAGUGUGAUGAUGUGCUUAUCGCCGAGUUAGACAAACCGGAGAGGAAUUUUGCAGAGUCAGAUCAUUCAGAAUGCUCAGUCAAACCUGAUUUGGAAUAUUUCACUUAUAGGACAGUUGUUCACGAGUCCAAUCCUACUUACACCACUAUUUCUCAAAGGGACCCACCGUGUAGUUUGCUUCACAAUGUGAUAAGAAAAACGUGGCAUAAUUUACAGCCCAGUGAGGGUCAUCCCUUAUUGGAAGACGUGAAAGAGAAGCAAGCAUCACAAGCUAAAUCUGAUUUUAGCAUUCUGAAUAACAGUCCACCUCAUGAACUGUUUACUCAUGAGCCAUCAGGAUCCUCCAAUUCAGACUCAGAACAUGGGUUGGUCAAAGAAACAACUGUAAAAAAAGAACAUGAUAUAAUGAAGCAAUCUUGCCGGAGUGAAAAUACAGUUACAUCUGUAGAGGAAGCAGGGCCUCCACCCCUCCCUCCUAAACAGAGGAAUUUCAACCAGAUGCAUGUCCAAUUACAAAGGACUUUCACACUAAACGAUUUCAGGCUUGACCUCGAGCCCAUCAACUUGCUGGAGGAGGUUUGUACAGGAGAUGAAUGGGCAAAAUUUCUGCCAGUUAUAAAUCCCUCAGCCCAUCCUGAUGCCAAAGACGAUUCACAAAGAGAGGAUUCUCAUAAUUCGAGUGAUGAUAUCGGACCAUGUAAUGCAGUCAUAAAGCUGGCACUAUCAGCAGACAAAGAGCAGUCAGAAAUUAGUUCUAGUCUAGUCAGUGUUACUGACAGUCAGAUAGACAGCGUAAUCCAGACCAGACAAGAUACACCUCCUAAAGAGUCACCUUUUUCUGACCUUCCCAAAACACCACCAAAAAGUUUUGCAGUUGCACAAAUGCCAGACAUACUAGAAUAUAAAAAUUACAGGAAAAUUACUUUAUGGUAGUAUAUGUACAUGAUAAAACUAACCUGACAAAAGUCAAGGACUUGCCACUUGAUCUGUCUGUUGUCAAGUCAUCAGGAAUAUUAAACAAUUCAGCACUGAAGAGUCGAAUUCAUCUGAAUAAUAAAAGAAAACAUCAACCAUCAGGAAAGAGAAUAAGAGGAAACAUCAAACUACUCUUUCUUCGCAAACGCAGUGCCCCCACUACAGCAUCCACUCAGUCUCCCACUUCUUCACCUGCAGUUGUCUCCUUUCCCUCCUCUAAAUUUUAUUCUUUACCAGAAUCCAACUCCCAGACACAACAAGAUUUCCAAACAUCUGUAGUUGCUAAUAAAAAGCCACUAGUAACAAAUACUGCUUCACUACAAAUGAUAUCAGAAGUGACAGAAUCCUACAGCAAUGAUAAUGACUUUGCAGAAAAGACUGUGCUUUCUAAAAAUGAUCAGCAAUCAAUCGAGGCAAAGUUGAUGGAUAUGCACCAUGAUUUCUCUUUUGUCAAGUCUUCAAGGUUGCUAGACAAUUCUGCUCUGAAGGAUCGAAUCAAUUUGAGCAAAAAAAGAAAACAUCGACCCCCAGGGGAAAGAAAAGAUGAAAAUACCAAAGAAAAGUUUCUCAUAAAACAUGUUUGCCAACCAAGUGCCUCAAAGUCCCAUCAGACUCGCCCUUCCUCACAUGCUUCUGUCUUCAGCUUCUCUGCAUUUUAUAAUAUACCAUGCUCAAAAUCCAAGGAUUUUCAGACACAUGAAGAUUCCCAAACAACUGUACUUGGUAAAGAGAAGACGUUAGUAAGAAAUGCUGCAGCACUGUCAACAAUAUUGGAAGUACCAGAAUCUUCCAGCAAUGAUAAUGACAAGGCACAGCUGAGGGAUGUGCCCUAUGAUUUCUCUCUUGUCAAGGUAUUUCUUCCUCUCUUUUACAAAGUCAUCAGAGCUGCUAGACGACUCUGCUCUGAAGUAUCGAAUCAGUUUAGCCAAAAAAAGAAAACAUUGACCACCAGGAAAAAAAAAAGAUGAAAAUACCAAAAAGAAGUUCCCCAUUAAACUUCUCCGCCAAUGGAGUGCCUAAGAGUCUCACCAGUUCCGCCCUUCUUCACACACAUCUGUCUUCACCUCCUCUGCAUUUUAUAAUAUACCAAUGUCUUAUAAUUCCAAUGAUUCCAAAAGCACACCAGUUCCUGCUAACGAGAAGUUCAGUAUAUCUUAGAUCUGAUCAAUCUGGCAAACUGGCUAUGAAGAAAAUAAUUUUUCCCUAAUUUAUAAUGAAUUUAAUUAAUACAUAAAAAAAAUAUCAACUGAUCAAAAAUAAUAAACUUACCUUGUAUUUGUUCUGCUCCUGCCUCUGCAGCAAAAGACAAAAGACAAAUUCUUGAAACCAAAGCUUUGGAAGAUAAAAAGCUCAUUUGUGUCCGGGUAAUGUAACAGGAACCACGGUCAAGCAGUGUACAUGUAACCUAGUCUACAUGUGACCUGGAAAAGAACUAAAUCCAUCACUCGUAUAAAUAUACAUACUGUAUUAAACUUUUCUUAUAAGCUGCUUACUUAUAAGCUGAAUUAGUAAAAUACCUUGGCUGAAAUAAAAUGUACAAUGUUCCCAAAUGUAUUUAUUCAGCUAAGUUGAAUUCACUGUAUUAGGUUUUUUGAUCCUUUUGUACA